rnacentral:rRNA from 1 species
UACGUAGGCAGCAAGCGUUGUUCGGAAUUAUUGGGCGUAAAGGGCGCGUAGGCGGUGCGGUAAGUCACCUGUGAAAUCUCCUGGCUCAACCUGGGAGCUGCAUCUGUGACUGCAUCGCUGGAGUGCGGCAGAGGGGGAUGGAAUUCCGCGUGUAGCAGUGAAAUGCGUAGAUAUGCGGAGGAACACCGAUGGCGAAGGCAAUCCCCUGGGCCUGCACUGACGCUCAUGCACGAAAGCGUGGGGAGCAAACAGG